rnacentral:rRNA from 1 species
UACGUAGGUGGCAAGCGUUGUCCGGAAUUAUUGGGCGUAAAGCGCGCGCAGGUGGUUCUUUAAGUCUGAUGUGAAAGCCCACGGCUCAACCGUGGAGGGUCAUUGGAAACUGGGGAACUUGAGUGCAGAAGAGGAAAGUGGAAUUCCAAGUGUAGCGGUGAAAUGCGUAGAGAUUUGGAGGAACACCAGUGGCGAAGGCGACUUUCUGGUCUGUAACUGACACUGAGGCGCGAAAGCGUGGGGAGCAAACAGGG